AUAACCGCUGAAAGCAUCUAAGCGGGAAGCGAGCCCUGAGAUGAGUCUUCCCUGAUACUUUAAGUAUCCUAAAGGGUUGUUCGAGACUAGAACGUUGAUAGGCAGGGUGUGUAAGCGCUGUGAGGCGUUGAGCUAACCUGUACUAAUUGCCCGUGAGGCUUAACCAUACAACACCCAAAGGGUUUUG
rnacentral:rRNA from 1 species